UACGGAGGGUGCAAGCGUUAUCCGGAAUCACUGGGCGUAAAGCGCGCGUAGGCGGCUUGAUAAGCCGGUUGUGAAAGCCCCGGGCUCAACCUGGGAACCGCAUCCGGAACUGUCAGGCUCGGGUGCAGGAGAGGAAGGUAGAAUUCCCGGUGUAGCGGUGAAAUGCGUAGAGAUCGGGAGGAAUACCGGUGGCGAAGGCGGCCUUCUGGACUGACACUGACGCUGAGGUGCGAAAGCGUGGGUAGCAAACAGG
rnacentral:misc_RNA from 1 species